UAGUUAUUCUAGUGGGGGAGGCAAGACAGUAAGAACACAAAAAAUGAGAGUAAAGGAUACAGUAUAAAUCAGAAAGUGAUGAUACUAUGGCAAAAAAAGAAAAAAAAACUAAAUAAAAGAAUCAGGAGAUGAGAGUAGGGAGAUAGCCUGCUAUUUUGAAUACACUGGUUGAGAAGGUGCCAUGGAAAACAAGAGUUAAGUGAAAAUUGAACAGAGGAUCCUCAGGAAUGGAAGCAAUAAAUGUGACUUGUCUAUUAUUGGCCCAUUACAUCCAAGAGCAGCCUUUCCUCUCCUGUAUGUGGUUCUGUCAUUCCCCAAGCAAUUAAUGUCAAAAGUGAGGAGCAGGCAUUUGCAAAGAGGCCAAUUAAAGACUACAUCAUUGUCAAAAUGUCUGAAAGCCAGAAACCCAGCAGGCAAGAGAAUCAU